GACGAACGCUGGCGGCGUGCUUAACACAUGCAAGUCGAACGGAAAGGCCCUGCUUUUGUGGGGUGCUCGAGUGGCGAACGGGUGAGUAACACGUGAGUAACCUGCCCUUGACUUUGGGAUAACUUCAGGAAACUGGGGCUAAUACCGGAUAGGAGCUCCUGCUGCAUGGUGGGGGUUGGAAAGUUUCGGCGGUGGGGGAUGGACUCGCGGCUUAUCAGCUUGUUGGUGGGGUAGUGGCUUACCAAGGCUUUGACGGGUAGCCGGCCUGAGAGGGUGACCGGCCACAUUGGGACUGCGAUACGGACCAGACGCCUACGGUAGGCAGCAGUGGGGAAUAUUGCACAGUGGGCGGAAGCCUGAUGCAGCAACGCCGCGUGCGGGAUGACGGCCUUCGGGUUGUAAACCGCUUUCGCCUGUGACGAAGCGUGAGUGACGGUAAUGGGUAAAGAAGCACCGGCUAACUACGUG
rnacentral:rRNA from 1 species